UCCAAGGGGCCGGCACCAAAAAGCGCCCUCAUUCACUCUUCCUUCCUUCCUUCCUUUCUUUCACUCACUCACUCACUCACUCACUGACAGGCCACACGCGGCUUCUGCAAAGAAGUUACACGUGCUGCGUUACCAGAAGAUAAAGAGAUAACCAGAGCAACCAAAAAGACUUUGGGAAACAGCUUGUAAAAGAUAAAGGAAUGAAAAUCUUAGCAACAGACCAGCUGAAACCUGAAACAGGACCUUCAGUGUCUGAGCCAAAAGAGCUGUUCUAUACCUGGGCUUCUGCCACAAGUAUCCCUUAUGCAGCUGGCAGGCUCCAGCUCAGGAGAGCACACAGGAUAACCACUCCUCCCGAGGACAGCGCUCAACGUCAUUUUUCACUCAAAGUAUUAACAGAAAUCCUGAAAGGAAGAAAGUUUCCAUAUGUUGGGGCCAAAUAAAACAGCCAGGUUUUGAAACAGAA